UACGAAGGGGGCUAGGCGUUGCUCGGAAUUACUGGGCGUAAAGCGGCACGUAGGCGGAUUGUUAAGUCGGGGGUGAAAUCCUGGAGCUCGAACUCCAGAACUGCCUUCGAUACUGGCGAUCUCGAGUUCGGGAGAGGUGAGUGGAACUGCGAGUGUAGAGGUGAAAUUCGUAGAUAUUCGCAAGAACACCAGUGGCGAAG
rnacentral:rRNA from 1 species